UACAGAGGUCCCAAGCGUUGUUCGGAUUCACUGGGCGUAAAGGGUGCGUAGGCGGUCGGGUAAGUCUGAUGUGAAAUCUCCAAGCUCAACUUGGAAAUGGCAUCGGAUACUAUUCGGCUCGAGGAAUGGAGGGGAGACUGGAAUACUGGGUGUAGCAGUGAAAUGCGUAGAUAUCAAGUGGAACACCAGUGGCGAAGGCGAGUCUCUGGACAUUUCCUGACGCUGAGGCACGAAAGCCAGGGGAGCAAACGGG
rnacentral:rRNA from 1 species